CCCCGCCCCGCGCGGGCGGUAUCCCGGAGCCCGUCCCCCGCCGGUGGGGUGUAUGACCGUGGUGGGGUGGGGAGAGGGUGGCGGCCGGGCGCUGGUGCGACAGCCGGAGUGGAGGGCGCUGGGACAGCUGUAUCUGGAUCUAAUGAUGCUGUGUCCCUUCCCUGAAAGAAUUAAAUUAAGUCUGUUUCAAGAUUUAAAGAGCACUGACUUGGCAUGUGGGAUUCGUGUCUGCUGGAGCUUCUUGAGCUGGAGCAGGGUCCCAGGCCUCUGCCCUUGACUCUUCUGGCACAUUUCUAAGAUACCAUCAGGGUUAUCCUCUGUGUCUUCCUCACCAGCUCACUCCAGUACUGACAGCAAGACAGUUUGUUAAAUACAGCACUUGGGGAAAUACUUUCUGUGAAGAGGAUUCUUGGAGAGCUGCUUGUUAGAAGGCUGUAUUUCUCUUUAACUGGCAGUUGUUGUCAUCUGAUGUUUUAAAUAGCAUCCAGGCCAGCCAGCUCCAGCACACUAUUGGCAUUUAUUUGCUGUGUCAUGUCAGCUUUUAGCAGUAGUAAAGACCUUUAGAAAACAUUUGUCAAACUCUUAUCUCCUCUCAACAUAACAUAUUUUUGGGGUGAAAUUUCUUUUAAUUUCAUUUAACUUUAUGGUCAAAUUUGUCUUUUCACCAGUUUGUAAAAAGCAACUGGUGAAUGUUGGAUAUAUAUGAUAAAAAUAAUAAAUAAAACCCUUACAGUUAAUUAUAACA
rnacentral:lncRNA from 14 species